AGAGUUUGAUCAUGGCUCAGAGCGAACGCUGGCGGCAGGCCUAACACAUGCAAGUCGAACGGAUCCUUCGGGAUUAGUGGCGGACGGGUGAGUAACACGUGGGAACGUGCCCUUUGGUUCGGAACAACUCAGGGGAACUUGAGCUAAUACCGGAUGUGCCCUUCGGGGGAAAGAUUUAUCGCCAUUGGAGCGGCCCGCGUCUGAUUAGCUAGUUGGUGAGGUAAAGGCUCACCAAGGCGACGAUCAGUAGCUGGUCUGAGAGGAUGAUCAGCCACAUUGGGACUGAGACACGGCCCAAACUCCUACGGGAGGCAGCAGUGGGGAAUCUUGCGCAAUGGGCGAAAGCCUGACGCAGCCAUGCCGCGUGAAUGAUGAAGGUCUUAGGAUUGUAAAAUUCUUUCACCGGGGACGAUAAUGACGGUACCCGGAGAAGAAGCCCCGGCUAACUUCGUGCCAGCAGCCGCGGUAAUACGAAGGGGGCUAGCGUUGCUCGGAAUUACUGGGCGUAAAGGGAGCGUAGGCGGACUGUUUAGUCAGAGGUGAAAGCCCAGGGCUCAACCUUGGAAUUGCCUUUGAUACUGGCAGUCUUGAGUACGGAAGAGGUAUGUGGAACUCCGAGUGUAGAGGUGAAAUUCGUAGAUAUUCGGAAGAACACCAGUGGCGAAGGCGACAUACUGGUCCGUUACUGACGCUGAGGCUCGAAAGCGUGGGGAGCAAACAGGAUUAGAUACCCUGGUAGUCC
rnacentral:rRNA from 1 species